rnacentral:rRNA from 1 species
UACGGAGGGUGCAAGCGUUAAUCGGAAUUACUGGGCGUAAAGCGCGCGUAGGCGGCGCAUUAAGUCAGAGGUGAAAGCCCGGGGCUCAACCCCGGAAUUGCCUUUGAGACUGGUGUGCUUGAGUACGGAAGAGGUGAGUGGAAUUCCAGUGUAGAGGUGGAAUUCGUAGAUAUUGGGAAGAACACCAGUGGCGAAAGGCGGCUCACUGGUCCGUAACUGACGCUGAGGUGCGAAAGCGUGGGGAGCAAACAGGAUUAGAUACCCCCGUAGUC